rnacentral:rRNA from 1 species
GAUUAUUGGGCGUAAGGGCUCGCAGGCGGUUUCUUAAGUCUGAUGUGAAAGCCCCCCUCCUUAACGGGGAGGGUCAUUGGAAACUGGGAAACUUGAGUCUCCUAAAGGAGAGUGGAAUUCCACGUGUAGCGGUGAAAUGCGUAGAGAUGUGGAGGAACACCAGUGGCGAAGGCGACCCUCUGAUCUGUAACUGACGCUGAGGAGCGAAAGCGUGGGGAGCGAACAGGAUUAGAUACCCUGGUAGUCCACGCCGUAAACGAUGAGUGCUAAGUGUUAGGGGGUUUCCGCCCCUUAGUGCUGCAGCUAACGCAUUAAGCACUCCGCCUGGGGAGUACGGUCGCAAGACUGAAACUCAAAGGAAUUGACGGGGGCCCGCACAAGCGGUGGAGCAUGUGGUUUAAUUCGUUUUUUUUCUAAGAACCUUACCAGGUCUUGACAUCCUCUGACAACCCUAGAGAUCCCCCUUCCCCUUCGGGGACAGAGUGACAGGUGGUGCAUGGUUGUCUUCAGCUCGUGUCGUGAGAUG